GCGGCCGCCCCGGGUGCCUGCAGGGAUCACUCACCGGUUCCCAACCCGGGGGCGUCUCCCCGGGCCGCUCGGCGCACGAUGCUGCUCUGGCUGCGCGUUGCUUUCCUGGCGGCUCUUCCCCAAGGUGCCCGAGCGCAGGUCCGGCUGGUGGAGUCCGGGGGCGGCGUGAAAAGGGCCGGAGACUCUCUGCGCCUCUCCUGCAAAGGCUCCGGCUUCACCUUUAGCAACUUCACCAUGAGAUGGUUCCGCCAGGCCCCCGGGCAGGGGCCCGAGUGGGUGGCUACGGUCAGCCCCAUUAGCUAUUGGGCCGGAACCGACAAGCGGUACGCUGGGUCGGUGCAAGGGCGAUUCACCAUCUCCAGAGACAACCCCAACAACCGGCUCCAUCUGGAGAUGGGCGGCCUGAGAGCCGAGGACACGGCGGUGUAUUACUGUCAGAGAGACACCGUGAGCGGCAGGGACUGGAACCGCGUACAAAAACCUGCCGUCGGCCGCGGGGCAGGGUCCCACACACCGCACUGACCCGGGGAGAGACUGUCCCCGCGCUGCAGCCAACACCUGGGGAGCCGUAAUUUGAGGGAGGGGGGGCAGUGAAGGCUGCCAAGGCUGAGGCGCAUUAAUUGGCCUUUAUCCUCCUCCCGGACUCCCACUUCCCCGAAUCCCUGAAGCAGGGGGUCCCACAGAGAACAGCCUCCUUCCCAGCCCCGAUUCAUUCCCCAGCAGGCCCCUUCCCAGCAGGGGUGCCUAGCCGGGGUCCCGUGGGAAAAAGUAGCGAGUGAAACCUUGUGGCAUCUCUGUGAGGGCGCGUAGGGGUUCCGCCCAUCCUA